rnacentral:rRNA from 1 species
UGGGGAAUUUUGGACAAUGGGCGAAAGCCUGAUCCAGCCAUGCCGCGUGAGUGAAGAAGGCCUUCGGGUUGUAAAGCUCUUUUAGUCGGAAAGAAAGAGUUGCAAUGAAUAAUUGUGAUUUAUGACGGUACCGACAGAAAAAGCACCGGCUAACUACGUGCCAGCAGCCGCGGUAAUACGUAGGGGGCAAGCGUUGUCCGGAUUUACUGGGUGUAAAGGGCGCGCAGGCGGGAUAAAAAGUCAGUGGUGAAAUCCUACAGCUUAACUGUAGAACUGCCUUUNAUACUUUUAUUCUUGAGUUCGGGAGAGAGAGACGGAAUUCCAGGUGUAGUGGUGAAAUACGUAGAUAUCUGGAAGAACACCAGUUGCGAAGGCGGUCUCUUGGUCCGACACUGACGCUGAGGCGCGAAAGCGUGGGGAGCAAAC